CCUACGGGUGACAGCAGUGAGGAAUAUUGCACAAUGGACGAAACCCUGAUGCAGCCACGCCGCGUGAAGGAAGACGGUUUUCGGAUUGUAAACUUCUUUUCUUAGUGAAGAAGAAUGACGCUAGCUAAGGAGCAAGCCACGGCUAACUACGUGCCAGCAGCCGCGGUAAUACGGAGGUGGCAAGCGUUAUCCGGAAUUACUGGGUGUAAAGGGAGCGCAGGCGGGAAGCCAAGUCAGCUGUGAAAACUACGGGCUUAACUUGUAAACUGCAGUUGAAACUGGUUUUCUUGAGUGAAGUAGAGGUUGGCGGAAUUCGGAGUGUAGCGGUGAAAUGCGUAGAUAUUCGGAGGAACACCGGUGGCGAAGGCGGCUAACUGGGCUUUAACUGACGCUGAGGCUCGAAAGUGUGGGGAGCAAACAGGAUUAGAUACCCUAGUAGUC
rnacentral:rRNA from 1 species